UGGGGAAUAUUGGACAAUUGAGGAAACUCUGAUCCAGCCAUGCCGCGUGAGUGAAGAAGGCCUUAGGGUUGUAAAGCUCUUUCAAUCGUGAAGAUAAUGACGGUAACAAUAGAAGAAGCCCCGGCUAAAUUCGUGCCAGCAGCCGCGGUAAUAUGAAUGGGGCAAGCGUUGUUCGGAAUCACUGGGCUUAAAGCGUGCGUAGGCGGAAACGAAAGUCAGAAGUGAAAUCCCAGGGCUCAACCCUGGAACUGCUUUUGAAACACCGUUUCUAGAAUCCGGUAGAGGUCAGGAGAAUUCCUAGUGUAGAGGUGAAAUUCGCAGAUAUUAGGAGGAAUACCAGUGGCGUAGGCGCCUGACUGGGCCGGUAUUGACGCUGAGGUACGAAAGCGUGGGGAGCAAACAGGAUUAGAUACCCGUGUAGUCC
rnacentral:rRNA from 1 species